rnacentral:misc_RNA from 1 species
GAGCCUUGUUGGUUACAGAGGAAAAAUUAAGAUAUUGAUCUGAAAUUGAUGUUUAUUUCAAAAUCUUAUAGAACAAACUUAAAGUUUAAUAGAACAUAAAUUUGUGGUGGAUCCACCCUUUUGUAGUGUUGGAGGUUUAGUUUAGGGAAUUCAUUUUUUGGCAUCUUUCUUUCUGUUGAAAUACAGUCCAUGUGAUGCGUUUGUAUUGUUAAAUCGCUGACAGAAAUCUGAUUCUUUCAAGUAAAUUUUGAGUGCAGAAGCUACACCUCUUCAACUAGUUCCUUGCAAUAACUUCCUUGUACGCAAGAUUGUUGACUUUGAUUAUUCUAUUGAUUGUGCAUGGUAUCAUCAU